GUGGGGAAUAUUGGACAAUGGGCGAAAGCCUGAUCCAGCCAUGCCGCGUGUGUGAAGAAGGUCUUCGGAUUGUAAAGCACUUUAAGUUGGGAGGAAGGGCAGUAAGUUAAUACCUUGCUGUUUUGACGUUACCGACAGAAUAAGCACCGGCUAACUUCGUGCCAGCAGCCGCGGUAAUACGAAGGGUGCAAGCGUUAAUCGGAAUUACUGGGCGUACAGCGCGCGUAGGUGGCUUUGUAAGUUGGAGGUGAAAUCCCCAGGCUCAACCGGGGAACUGCCUCCAAAAGUGCAUGGCUAGAGUACAGUAGAGGGUAGUGGAAUUUCCGGUGUAGCGGUGAAAUGCGUAGAUAUAGGAAGGAACGCCAGUGGCGAAGGCGACUACCUGGACUGAUACUGACACUGUGGUGCGAAAGCGUGGGGAGCAAACAGGAUUAGAUACCCGAGUAGUCC
rnacentral:rRNA from 1 species